rnacentral:rRNA from 1 species
UACGUAGGAUGCAAGCGUUGUCCGGAAUUAUUGGGCGUAAAGAGCUCGUAGGCGGCCUGUCGCGUCUGCUGUGAAAUCCCGGGGCUCAACCCCGGGCGUGCAGUGGAUACGGGCUGGCUGGAGGCAGGCAGGGGAGAACGGAAUUCCCGGUGUAGCGGUGAAAUGCGCAGAUAUCGGGAGGAACACCGGUGGCGAAGGCGGUUCUCUGGGCCUGUACUGACGCUGAGGAGCGAAAGCGUGGGGAGCGAACAGG